CUUUCAGGUGACAAUACAGUGACAAUGCAGUGUCAGGUGAACAAUUGAAAUGAAUCAUCUUUUGACUUACAGUUCAACUGCCAGAUAAAUGGCGCCUGGAAUGUACCCGUCGUCUUCCUGUGAAACUGCCUUUUCCCACUCCUCCACCUCAACAACAGUCACACAGCUCCAUUUCUUUUCCUCCUCAAGUGAUCGAUUAAUUUGCUCCAGCUCAGCCUUGUAAUCUUGGUUAUCUGCGUUCCCUCUGGUAGUCAUGCACACAUAGCCACCUGUUACACAAAAUUAUUUGAUUUAUAGAUGACUGGGAAUGUCAUGUAACUUAACUGGUUAAAGUCGCAAUAAAAUCGAAAUGAAAAACUGUAA